AUUGAACGCUGGCGGCAUGCCUUACACAUGCAAGUCGAACGGUAACGGGCCUUCGGGUGCCGACGAGUGGCGAACGGGUGAGUAAUACAUCGGAACGUGCCCGAUCGUGGGGGAUAACGAGGCGAAAGCUUUGCUAAUACCGCAUACGAUCUACGGAUGACAGCAGGGGACCGCAAGGCCUUGCGCGGACGGAGCGGCCGAUGGCAGAUUAGGUAGUUGGUGGGAUAAAAGCUUACCAAGCCGACGAUCUGUAGCUGGUCUGAGAGGAUGAUCAGCCACACUGGGACUGAGACACGGCCCAGACUCCUACGGGAGGCAGCAGUGGGGAAUUUUGGACAAUGGGCGCAAGCCUGAUCCAGCCAUGCCGCGUGCAGGAUGAAGGCCUUCGGGUUGUAAACUGCUUUUGUACGGAACGAAAAGCCUUCUUUUAAUACAGGAGGGUCAUGACGGUACCGUAAGAAUAAGCACCGGCUAACUA
rnacentral:rRNA from 1 species